ACNUAAAUUUGAAAUCUCCUUCGGGCGAAUUGUAGUUUGAGAAGCGUUUUCGGCUCGACGGUUGGUACAAGUUCUUUGGAACAAGACAUCAUAGAGGGUGAAAAUCCCGUCUUUGACCAAUCUUACGGCUUUGUGAUACGUUUUCCAAGAGUCGGUUUGUUUGGGAAUGCAGACCAAAAAGGGAGGUAAAUCCUUCUAAAGCUAAAUAUUGGCGAGAGACCGAUAGCGAACAAGUACCGUGAGGGAAAGAUGAAAAGAACCUUUGAAAAGAGAGUGAAACAGUACGGUGAAAUUGUCAAAAGGGAAACGUUUGAAAGCAGUAUUGCGGCCAGGAUUUCAGCUUGGUGUAUUGUCCCUGGUGGCGAGGUCAACAUCAGUUCGGUUUGGAGCAAAAAGCCGUGUGAAGGUAGCCCCUUUGGGUAUUAUAGCGCAUGGUCGUACUCUAGACGGGACUGAGGACAGCAGCGUUUUUGGCUUUGCACACUCGCGCUUGGGAUGUUGACGAAAUGGUUUUAAGCGCCCGUCUUGAAACACGGCCAAGGAGUCUAACAUUAUAUGCAAGUAUUUGGGUGGCAAACCCUUGUGCGCAAUGAAAGUGAAAAGAUGGGAUCAUGGAGCACCAUCGACCGCGCCAGUGAUUCCGAUCUCGGCGUGAGAGAGCAUAGAUGCUGGGACCCGAAAGAUGGUGACUAUGCCUAGAUAGGGUAGAGCCAAGGAGAAC
rnacentral:rRNA from 1 species